UACGGAGGAUCCAAGCGUUAUCCGGAAUCAUUGGGUUUAAAGGGUCCGUAGGCGGUUUGGUAAGUCAGUGGUGAAAGCCCAUCGCUCAACGGUGGAACGGCCAUUGAUACUGCCAGACUUGAAUUAUUAGGAAGUAAGCUAGAAUAUGUAGUGUAGCGGUGAAAUGCUUAGAGAUUACAUGGAAUACCAAUUGCGGAAGGC
rnacentral:rRNA from 1 species